rnacentral:lncRNA from 1 species
AAUGGAGUCAUCCCUGGGCUGGUGGUCCUGGGUUUUAUAAGAAAGCAGACUGAGCAAGCCAGGGGAAGCCAGUCAGUAAGUAACAUCCUUCCAUGGCCUCUGCAUCAGCUCCUGCCUCCAGGUUCCACUCCUGCUUGAGUGCCUGUCUUGACUUCCUCCAGUGAUGUACUAUGAUCUGGAAAUGUGGACUGAGCUAUUGCUUCAAGGGACAUUGCACAGCUCUCUGGGGACAAGUGUCCUGCCCAACCCCUUCCCAGAGGUCCCAGCAUAAAUGUUCUGCUCCAGUUACGGAGAGGGAGCAGCAGCCAAUGUGUCAACAGGUCUGGAAAACCAGAGAGACAAAUAAAGGAAGACCUGAAGUCAGAUGGAGAUGGGGAGCGAGAGUUAUGAAAUUUUCAAGCUCAUUUUUAUCAUCUACAAACCUUCCCAUAAACUCUGUCCCAGGUGGCUGGGCAAACACUUGAGCCUUGAAAUGAAAUCUUGGAGUUAUUCUGUCACUCACACAGACUAAAUCCAUCCUGAAUUGUGUAAUAAACUUUAGCCUUUGGCAUUUUAUGAUUUCAA